rnacentral:rRNA from 1 species
UACGAGGGAUCCUAGCGUUGUUCGGAAUCAUUGGGCGUAAAGCGGGUGCAGGUGGCUUUGUAAGUCAGGUGUGAAAGCCCAGGGCUUAACCCUGGAAGUGCAUUUGAUACUGCAAAGCUUGAGUGUAGGAGAGGUUACUAGAAUUCCUGGUGUAGUGGUGAAAUACGUAGAUAUCAGGAGGAAUACCGGAGGCGAAGGCGGGUAACUGGCCUAACACUGACACUCAGACCCGAAAGCGUGGGGAUCAAACAGG